rnacentral:rRNA from 1 species
UACGAAGGGGGCUAGCGUUGCUCGGAAUCACUGGGCUUAAAGCGUGUGUAGGCGGAUUGGUAAGUACCUUGUGAAAUCCCACGGCUUAACCGUGGAACUGCUUGGUAUACUGCUUAUCUUGGGCCACUUAGGGGCUACCGGAACAAACGGUGGAGCGGUGAAAUGCGUAGAUAUCUGGAGGAACACCGGUGGCGAAGGCGGCAUCCUGGACCAAUUCUGACGCUGAGGAGCGAAAGCCAGGGGAGCAAACGGG